UUCUUCGUACGUCGCUAACUCAGUUAGCUGGAUUUGAUUGUUGACGAUUUGGCAUGAUCUUGGAUCGUUUGGUUCUUCGAAGCUCAUCCUAGACUUGCUGUCAUAGCAACAGGCUUCCCUAACGUGAUUGGUGCCAUAGACUGCACACACAUCCCCAUCAAGGCCCCACCUGGCCCAAAUGAAGGCGAUUUUGUGAACUGAAAGGGGGUUCACAGUGUAAAUGUGCAGGGGAUUUUGAUGGGAUCCUGCUUGGAGACAGGGGCUAUGCCUGCAGGCAGUAUUUUAUGACGCCCUUCCCUGACCCAAACCCUGGACCACAAACCCAUUACAAUGCAGCUCUAGCCAGGACAAGGGCACGCAGUGAAAAGACCUUUGGGCAACUAAAGGAAAGAUUUCAGUGUCAGAAAAGUCUGAGGGUUGCACCUGACAGGGCCUGUGACAUAAUUGUUACAUAACAUCGCCACCAUCAGAAAGGAGAGGAUCCCUGUGGUGGUGGUGCAGCCUGAUCAAAACAUGCCUCAUGCAACAAAAGUAAAAAGUAAAAGUACAACACUGUCCACCUCUGUAUUAGUUCUUUGUGCAGACUCUUCUGCAAGCCUUUCUGUAGGCCUUUCUCUAGGUGUGGACUCCUGCAACUCAAAUUGCAGACAGAAAGAAUAGGUACACAAGUAGACUAUAUACAAAUUAGUGUAAAGUCAUUUAUGCACUUACAGGUUCUUCCU